GGAAUGCUUUACACAUGCAAGUCGAACGGCAGCACGGGGGCAACCCUGGUGGCGAGUGGCGAACGGGUGAGUAAUACAUCGGAACGUGCCCAGUCGUGGGGGAUAACUACGCGAAAGCGUAGCUAAUACCGCAUACGAUCUACGGAUGAAAGCGGGGGAUCGCAAGACCUCGCGCGAUUGGAGCGGCCGAUGGCAGAUUAGGUAGUUGGUGGGGUAAAGGCUCACCAAGCCGACGAUCUGUAGCUGGUCUGAGAGGACGACCAGCCACACUGGGACUGAGACACGGCCCAGACUCCUACGGGAGGCAGCAGUGGGGAAUUUUGGACAAUGGGCGCAAGCCUGAUCCAGCCAUUCCGCGUGCAGGAUGAAGGCCCUCGGGUUGUAAACUGCUUUUGUACGGAACGAAAAGGCUCCCUCUAAUACAGGGGGCUCAUGACGGUACCGUAAGAAUAAGCACCGGCUAACUACGUGCCAGCAGCCGCGGUAAUACGUAGGGUGCGAGCGUUAAUCGGAAUUACUGGGCGUAAAGCGUGCGCAGGCGGUGAUGUAAGACAGUUGUGAAAUCCCCGGGCUCAACCUGGGAACUGCAUCUGUGACUGCAUCGCUGGAGUGCGGCAGAGGGGGAUGGAAUUCCGCGUGUAGCAGUGAAAUGCGUAGAUAUGCGGAGGAACACCGAUGGCGAAGGCAAUCCCCUGGGCCUGCACUGACGCUCAUGCACGAAAGCGUGGGGAGCAAACAGGAUUAGAUACUCUGGUAGUCCACGCCCUAAACGAUGUCAACUGGUUGUUGGGUCUUCACUGACUCAGUAACGAAGCUAACGCGUGAAGUUGACCGCCUGGGGAGUACGG
rnacentral:rRNA from 1 species